rnacentral:rRNA from 1 species
GAAGGAAAACGGAAGCCUCAUUGGGUCUCUUGGAAAACUAUGACACAACCCAAGGGCAUGGGGGGUUUAGGGUUCAAAGAUUUUGAGCUAUUUAACCUAGCAAUGUUGGCGAAACAAGCAUGGAGACUACUGCAGAACCCUGAGACCUUGAGUGCACGUAUUCUCAAGAGCAUUUAUUACCAUAAUUCGGACAUUCUUGAGGCCGAACUGGGUAAUCACCCUAGCCAGGUGUGGCGUGCUGUAGUUGAAGGUAGGGACACCCUAAGGCAAGGAUUGAUUAAACGAAUCGGGAAUGGUGCAUCAAUGAUACGUCUCCAACGUAUCUAUAAUUUUUUAUUGUUCCAUGUUGUAUUAUAUUUUGUUUUGGAUGAUUAA